GAUGAACGCUAGCGGCAGGCCUAAUACAUGCAAGUCGAACGGGUGGUCGCAAGACCACUAGUGGCGCACGGGUCCGUAACGCGUAACCAACCUGCCCCGAUCUGGGCGAUAGCCCGCCGAAAGGCUGAUUAAUACCGCAUCUACUCGCAGCCUGGCAUCAGGCAACGGGGAAAGAUUUAUUGGAUCGGGAUGGGGUUGCGUGACAUUAGCUAGUUGGCGGGGUAAGGGUCCGCCAAGGCGACGAUGUCUAGGGGACCUGCGAUGGGGAUCCCCCACACUGGCACUGAGAUACGGGCCAGACGCCUACGGGAGGCAGCAGUAGGGAAUAUUGGGCAAUGGGCGAGAGCCUGACCCAGCCAUGCCGCGUGCCGGAUGAAGGCCUUCUGGGUUGUAAACGGCUUUUCUCAGGGAAGAAAAAGACCUUGCGAGGUACACUGACGGUACCUGAGGAAUAAGCACCGGCUAACUCCGUG
rnacentral:rRNA from 1 species